GGUUCACUUCCUAUAGGGACUGAAAACCAAGUGAGGAGAUGAAUUCUGAAUUAGAAUAGAAAUUAAAACACUCCAAUCUGAAACUAGAGUUCCAAAUCUGAACAAAGGAAAUUACAAAGAUAUGAACGGAAGAGGGUGUCACUGGCUAGGCCAGAAUUUAUUGACCAUCUCUAAUUGUCCAGAUGGCAUUUAGGAGUCAACUACAUUGAUGUGGAUCUAAAGUCACAUAGAGGCCAGACCAGCAUGAUUCAAGAACAAAGAACAAAGAAAGUUACAGCAUGGGAACAGGCCCUUCAGCCCUUCAAGCCUGCGCCGUUCGAGAUCCUCUGUCUAAACCUAUCAUCUAUUUUCUAAGGGUCUGUAUCCCUCUGCUCCCUGCCCAUCCAUGUACCUGUCCAGAUACAUCUUAAAAGACACUAGCGUGUCUGCACCUACCACCUCUGCUGGCAACGCGUUCCAGGCACCCACCACCCUCUGCGUAAAGAACUUUCCACACAUAUCUCCCUUAAACUUUCCUCCUCUCACUUUGAACUCAUGACUCAUCGUAAUUGAGUCCUCCACUCUGGGAAAAAGCUUCUUGCUAUCCAGCUUGUCUAUACCCCUCAUGAUUUUGUAGACCUCAGUCAGGUCCUCCCUCAAUCUCCGUCUUUCUAAUGAAAGCAAUCCUAAUCUACUCAACCUUUCUUCAUAGCUAGCGUCCUCCAUACCAGGCAACAUCCUGGUGAACCUCCUCUGCACCAUCUCUAAAGCAUCCACAUCCUUUUGGUAAUGCGGCCACCAGAACUGUACGCAGUACUCUAAAUGUACCGAACCAAAGUCUUAUACAACUAUAACAUGACCUGCCAACUCUUGUACUCAGUACCCCAUCCAAUGUUGGAAAGCAUGCCCUAUGCCUUCUUGACCACCCUUUUGACCUGCAUUGCCACCUUCAGGGAACAAUGGACCUGCACACACAGAUCUCUCUGUACAUCAAUUUUCCCCAGGACUUUUCCAUUUACUGUACAUUCGCUCUUGAAUGAGAUCUUCCAAAAUGCAUCACCUUGCAUUUGCUCCUAGUCUUCACAUGGGUUCACUGAUGUUCCAGGACGUCUCACAACUGUGUGAUGGAUUUGUUUUAACAGAACACAUCCUGAUAGAAUUGCUCCUGUGUGUAUUGAAGGAGUCGGAGGUAAGCUGACUGUGUGCAAGUUUUGUCACAAGCGUCACUCUUAAAGAGAUUCUGUCCUAUGAGAAUCCUGUAGUGUCUCAGGAAGUUGUAAAAUACUACAUCAGCUUUAUUGCAAACCUCGCACAUGAAUUUUUACACCUACGUGUGGAUCCUUUGGUGGAGCAGGAAUUUUGAAGACCCUGAGAAUGAUUUAUCACACAUCUUGCACUUAAAUGGUUUCUCAUUUGUUUGCAUACAUUGGUGUACGUGGAGGUUUGAUGAUCACGAAAAUGACUUGUUACACACCUCACAUGUAAAUGGUUUCUCCCCAAUGUGAAUUUGUUGGUGUAAUCAGAGACCUAUUAAAUCGAGACUGAUUUGUCACACGACUCGCACCCAAAUGGCUUCUCUCUUAGCGCGGAUCCUUUGGUGGAGCAGGUUCCAGGACCUCAAGAAUGAUUUGUCACACGGUCUGCACACAAAGGGUUUCUCUCCAGUGUGAAAUGUGUUGGUGCCUGCGAAGAUUUGAUGACCCUGAAAAUGACUUGUGACACACCCCAUACCCGAGUGGUUUCUCUCCUGUGUGAACCCGCUGAUGCAGCAGGAGCUUCAAUGACUGCAGGAAUGAUUUGUCCCCUGCCUCACAUUUAAACGGUUUCUCCCCAGGAUGGAUGUGUUCAUGUGCACGGAGAUUUCCUGACUGCGAAAAUGAUUUGUCACACACAUUGCAUGUGAAUGGCAUAGCUCCAGACAAUGUUUUGGUGUUUGUGGAGUGUUAAUGAAUUUGAGAAUGAUUUGUUGCAUACUUCACACAUGAAUGGUUUCUCUCCUGUAUGCAUCCGCUGGUGAAUGCGAAGGCAUGAUAACUGCAAAACUGAUUUGUCACAUACAUCACAAGUGCAUGGUCUCUCUCUGGCGCGGAUGUGCUGGUGUGCGUGAAGAUAUGAUGAAUUUGCAAAUGACUUGCCACACACUCCAAAUCUGAAUGGUUACUCCCCUGUGUGAACAUGUUGGUGUAUGCAGAGGUGUCAUGACUGUGAGAAUAAUUUAAGGCACACCUCACAUGUGAGCGGUUUCUCCCCAGCGUGAAUGAGUUGGUGUGCAAGGAGUGCUGAUGACUUUGAGAAUGAUUUAUUGUACCUCUUGCAUGUAAAUGGUUUCUCCCCCGCAUGAAUGUGACGAUGAUUCACCAGGCUUGAUGACUGCGCAAAGUCUUUGUUGCACGCCUCACACUUCACCAUAGUAUGAAUGCAUCAGUGACUGAUGAGCAUUGAUGAACGUACAAAGGCUCUGUCACAUACCUCGCAAUUAAAUAGAGAUGACAAGGUAUAGAGCUGGAUGAACACAGCAGGCCAAGCAGCAUCAGAGGAGCAAGUAAGCUGACGUUUGGGGUCUGGACCCUUCUUCAGAAAAAUUAAAUUAGCUAGCAAUUAAAUGCUUGCUCUCCCAUAGAUCAGCUCUAGUACUAACAGUUGCAAUGCGUUAGCAGACCUUAUCAGCCUGCAGAGCCCGCCUUACAUUUGAACAGCCUUUCACUUGUCAGAAUGAGUCAGUGGUUCAUGAGGCUUGAAUGAUUGAAGCUCUCACCACACUUGGAACACACUUCUUCCCAACCUCACCCUGACUGAUCACCCACAGCUGAACCUUCAGAAAGGCUGGUUCUGAUGGAAGGCUCUACACCUCUGACCAGUUCAGAUCUGAUGAUAAGUCAAAGCUCCCUGACCUGACCGAUUUCCAGAUGAUGGUUUCACUGCCCAGCCUUCUCUGUGUUGUGCAAUGCUGUGAAGGGAUCGGAUGCCUUCCCACCGUCAUGCAGUUGUUCCUUCGACAAUAUUCAGGAUCUAUCUGUAGUGUCUGUUGAUUCUGUAUUCUCGGGUAUAGUACAGUGCAAUCCUUCUGUAAAACAGGAGAAGGAAACAUGUUUUAUUCCAAUUCCAGCUUUCUUCCCUUGUUUAUACCUUCACAGGAUGUGUGCAUUUCUGGCCAUGCAGGCAUUAAUUGCCCAUUCUUAUUUGCCCCCUUGGGGUGUAGGGACAUUUUGAUUUACUAAUUUAGAUUUUAUUGUCACAGGCACUAAGUAUAGGAAUACAUCCGUACAGUGAAAACUGCGCAUAGUUGUCAUUCUCUGACGCCAUCCUGGUUACUAAGCCAGAAUUAAAAGAUUUAACACAGUUAAAAGGUAAAAGAAAAAAAAGUCCAUAUCUCAAAAUCCAAAGUUCCAUCUCCACUUAUGUGCCUGGAGCGCUCAGUCACGCGGCUACAGCCUGAAGUUUAGGCCAGCCCAUGAGUACCCACGCAGAGAAGCCACUGUUUAUUGCCACUGCUGCUCUAAUCACCAGAAGGAGCUCCGCUGCCACCGUUCAGGACGCCAGAAGAAGCUGCGCCAUCACUGACACCGCUGCUCCCAGCACCAUGAAGUCCGCCACCGAUUCUGGCCCACACUCAGUGAUCCGGCCCCCGCUCGAUCCUCCAGCCCCCACCCGAUCCUCCAGCCUGCGCUCGAACCUCCGGCUGUACUUGAUUGUCUGACCUGCACUCGAUCACCCAUCCAGCGCUUGACCCUCUGGCUGGCGCUCAAUCCUCCAGCCCGUCUGCAAUCUGCCUUCAUCGCUCUGGCCCGUGUUGGAUCCACUGCCGCUGCAGUACACAGCCUACGUGUUCAGCUCCCAGGGUGACAGGGUGGAGGGUUAAAACUUGCAGUUGGUGGUGUCCCAUGCAUCUGCUUGCCCUGCUGAAUGACGAAGGUGACAGGUUGAGAAGGUCAGAAAUCACACAACACCAGGUUUAUUUGAAAACGCAAACUUUUGGAGCAUAGCCCCUUCACCCUGAUGCAGGUUGGGCUACACUCCGAAAGCUUGUGUUUUCGACUAAACCUGUUGGACUAUAACCUGGUGUUAUGUGAUUUCUGACCUUGUCCACUCUAGACCAACACAGGCACCUCCACAUCCAGUUUAGAAGGUGCUGCCUAAGGAGCCUUGGUGGAUUUCUGCAGCAUGUUUCAACACCCUGUAAACCAAUACUAAAAAAGAAAGAAAUGAAAGCAACUGAUUUUUGUCUCCCACAUCAGUCCAACACCUAUUUCAUCUCCUUUUUUUCCAUCUGAUGUACGUUUUCAAGAUUUAACAGAAUCUAAUUGUGAAUUAGAAUAUUUAUUUUCUUCUCUUGUCAAUCAGACAAGAACAAACAGAACAAAGAACAACACAGGAAUAGGCCCUUUGGCCCUCCAAGCCUGCACUGAUGCAUUCUGCCCUUCCAUACUAAAACUGUCUUCACUUACAGGGUCUAUAUCCCUCUAUUCACUUCCUAUUCAUUAAUUCAUACAGGUGCUUCUUGAAUUGUCUCCUUCCACCACGUCCUCUCCAAGUAUUCACCUUGCACAUCUCUUUUGAACUUCCCCUAUGGAAGGAUAAUGUUAAAUAGAUCAGAAUACCCUAGUCAGUAAAGCAAAGGUUAAAAUGGCAGCAAAAUAGCAGAAUGCUCUAUACGCUAGAAACCAGAGAAAGUUCCAAACAGUCAAAAACAGGAAAAUUCUGAGAUACAAUAACAUUUAAAGAAAAUACAUGCUGACAGUCACAUAGCUGAUACCUAAAAAUCACUCCUAGCUUCUGUAAAAGCAAGAACGCCUGAAUAUCAUAAGAUGAUUGGUGUAUUGUAUGGCUAAGGUUUAUGAUGAAGAUGUGACUGGACAGUGAGGAAACAUGAUUUUUGUGGCAAAAAAUGCAACUGUUACUGCCUGUAUUAGACUCGUCUGGCAGGGUUACCAGUAACCCACUUUUUGCAU